rnacentral:rRNA from 1 species
UAAUCUCGGGAAACUGAGCAUAAUUCUUGAUAGAUCAUAAUGCCUGGAAUGGUUUAUGGUUAAAAUGAUUCGUCGCCCUAGGAUGGGACUGCGGCCUAUCAGCUUGUUGGUGAGGUAAUGGCCCACCAAGGCGAUUACGGGUACGGGCUCUGAGAGGAGAAGCCCAGAGAUGGGUACUGAGACACGGACCCAGGCCCUAUGGGGCGCAGCAGGCGAGAAAACUUUGCAAUGUGCGAAAGCACGACAAGGUUAAUCCGAGUGAUUUCUGCUAAAGAAAUCUUUUGCCAGUCGUAAAACCGCUGGUGAAUAAGGGGUGGGCAAGUUCUGGUGUCAGCCGCCGCGGUAAAACCAGCACCUCAAGUGGUCAGGAUGAUUAUUGGGCCUAAAGCAUCCUUAGCCUGCUUUGUAAGUUUUCGGUUAAAUCCAUGUGCUCAACGCAUGGGCUGCCGAAAAUACUGCAUAGCUAGGGAGUGGGAGAGGUAGACGGUA